AUUGAACGCUGGCGGCAUGCCUUACACAUGCAAGUCGAACGGUAACAGGUCUUCGGAUGCUGUCGAGUGGCGAACGGGUGAGUAAUACAUCGGAACGUGCCCGAGAGUGGGGGAUAACGAGGCGAAAGCUUUGCUAAUACCGCAUACGAUCUCAGGAUGAAAGCAGGGGACAGCAAGGCCUUGCGCUCACGGAGCGGCCGAUGGCAGAUUAGGUAGUUGGUGGGAUAAAAGCUUACCAAGCCGACGAUCUGUAGCGGGUCUGAGAGGACGACCAGCCACACUGGGACUGAGACACGGCCCAGACUCCUACGGGAGGCAGCAGUGGGGAAUUUUGGACAAUGGGCGCAAGCCUGAUCCAGCCAUGCCGCGUGCAGGAUGAAGGCCUUCGGGUUGUAAACUGCUUUUGUACGGAACGAAAAGACUCUGGUUAAUACCUGGGGUCCAUGACGGUACCGUAAGAAUAAGCACCGGCUAACUACGUGCCAGCCGCCGCGGUGAUAC
rnacentral:rRNA from 1 species